rnacentral:rRNA from 2 species
AUGCGUAAAGAUGUGGAGGAACACCAGUGGCGAAGGCGGCCUUUUGGUCUGUAACUGACGCUGAGGCGCGAAAGCGUGGGGAGCAAACAGGAUUAGAUACCCUGGUAGUCCACGCCGUAAACAAUGAGUGCUAAGUGUUAGAGGGUUUCCCCCCUUUAUUGCUGCAGCUAACGCAUUAAGCACUCCGCCUGGGGAGUACGGUCGCAAGACUGAAACUCAAAGGAAUUGACGGGGGCCCGCACAAGCGGUGGAGCAUGUGGUUUAUUUCAAAGCAACGCGAAGAACCUUACCAGGUCUUGACUUCCUCUGAGAUCUCUAGAGAUAGAGCGUUCCCCUUCGGGGGACAAAGUGACAGGUGGUGCAUGGUUGUCGUCCGCUCGUGUCGGGAGAUGGUUGGGUUA